UUAAAUAAUGUCACAUCAUAAAGAACUAUAUAUAAACUGGAUAAAUACUCAGUUAGAAAAGCGAAAAGGGAGUGAAGUUGUAAAAAAUCUAUCAAGUAUGCAAGAUGGCGUAGCUUUUUUACAGCUUGUAGAAGUUAUCAGUAAAGAACCACAGCAAAUAACAAGAGGUUCCACAUUAUCUGAAAUGUAUUUAAACAUUAAAAGAUUGUUUGGGUUUAUGGCAAGAAAAAAUAUAAAAUAUCAUAAAGUUUCUGCUAAAGAAAUUAUCGAAGGUAAUGAGAAAUCAAUCAUGUGUCUGAUUCUUGCUUUAGCAGUGUAUUUCAAGCCAGAAUUGUUUAGUUGUAAUUGUUUUCGUAACUCAAUUCUUAAAAAUAAAGCUUCUCAUUGUUCAAGUUCACCUGUUUCUACUGUUUCCAAUGCUGCUGCUUUAACUAACAAGGCAACCAAUAACAUAUCUUUGAUAAAAAUGCCUUUCCUUAAUGAAGAAAGAAACAAAGAUGGUAGCAAAUCUUUGUUGUUUCCUAACUCAAGAUAUAAACCUCAUUGCUCAUAUAGCAAGGCAACUUCAUCCGAAAAAUUUAUCAGUAAUGAAAAAGAAUUAGGUUAUACCAGUAAUGGAUUUCGAUUAAAAAAUGAAGAAAUACCAGAACCACCUGAAAAGCAUUCUUCUAUUCAGUCACAUCCAUCUAUUGUUUCUUAUGACUUAAAUGAAAGAAGUUCUACCUUAAUACACAACAUUUUAGAAAAAAAAGAUUUAAAUAUUGACCAUGUAUUAACAGAAGUUUCUCAUAUUAAAAAAUAUUUGAAUGAACUACAGAAUUUGUUAAUUCUUGACAGCUCUGAAGAAAGACUUGAAGUUUUAGAAGAACAAUCGAUAUCAAAAAGCAUUUUAUCCAAUAAUAACAAUGAAGACAGAGCAUUAAAAAUUGAAUUAAAUGAACUUAAGGAAGAAAAUUUAAAGCUCUACAGAGAAAAGACAUCUUUAGAACAACAGAACAAGUUAUUAGAAAAUGAGCUUCGUUUCAUAAAAUCAAAACUGUAUAAUAUAGAAACAUCAAGUAGUUCAUUAACUGAUGAUUUGAAAUCUUUAACAAAUGCUAGUUUAUACAAUACUAAUUUGGUUGCUUCUUUGUAUGAGGAGUUAAAUAAACGAGAUGUUAUUAUUCAAGAGCAAAACAAUGAAAUUAUUAUCAUGAAAAAUCACUUAACCAAUACAAGAAUAGUUGAGACCAAUCUGCAAACUCGGUUAGAAUCAUGUAGUUCUAUGAUCAACAGUUUGAAACAUCAACUUAAUGAAACAGCCAAUGUCAAUGAUAUCAGUAAUGAUAUUAUCAAAAAGCAGCAAGCUAUGGAAAAAAAUUUUUCAAAGUACAAAGAAAAGCUUGUGGACGAACAUAGAAUUGUGACUGAAACUCUUGAUAACAUUCGACAACAUCUCAAAGGUGAUUCUCUUCAAGACACAUUUGAAAGUUUAGAACAUAGCAUAGCUUCUUUCAUGAACACUUUUUUUAUGUUUGAAAAAGUCUACCCUUGGAGUAAGCCUUGCAUAAAACAUGAUUGAUGGGGUCAUACUAAAAUAGCCAUCUGCGGAGGCUACAGUACAUUCAACAACUGAGGGUUUGGGUUUGGGCAGGCACUAUCUAGAUAUGAAGGACUUAUAGUAUGGGAAGGAAUACACUAGCCAUAGAGAAUAAACAUGUUUGCAACGGUAAAAAAUCUGUGGAAACGUUUAAAGAUCAAGUCAAAGUUGUUUACUUUUUUGGAGAAACUGCAUCGCCUGUUUUUCAGAUUUCCAGUAU
rnacentral:misc_RNA from 1 species